GGGAAAAACAUAAAUGUUUUUCCCACACACUACAUCACCCUGUCAUACGAUCAAUAGUGUUUCCACUUAUCAUGUAUAGUUACUCGAACCCUUUACCUACCGGAUGAUAACAGAGUCGCUUAACCACUUGAGCGUCUCACUUGUCAACCUUGAGUAAAUUAACAUGCUGAAGAAGCUGCAGUUUCGAAGGACUGUUUCCUUACAAGAAGGCAAGUGAUUUUAGAGGGCUGAGCAUGUGUAUUAUCAACUGUACACAACACGAAAUCGGGUCGAUAUAAUGCUAAAGCCAAUCUUUCUUUUCCUGC
rnacentral:misc_RNA from 1 species